GGCCCAUUCAUCCCGGCGCGCCAGGAGCCCCGUUACCGUGGGCACCUGGAGAGAGGAGCCACAGGUGGAGGAGAAGCUGCUACUCCAGCCCCACAGGUGAGCUGCUCGCCAUCCUGAUCCCAGCACCGCUUCCAGCUGGAGCUGGAGCCUGUGGGAUGUGCAGAGAUGUCCCUGAGCCCCUCGGGCAGGUGACACAGGGCUGCUGCAGCCCCUGUGUGCAGCCUGGUCAUGGAAUACCCUGCACUGGAAGAGACCCACGAGGAUCAUCGAGGCCACGGCUGACGUGACACACACCGUGUCUGAUGCCCUGGGUCAGGAACGAGCAGAUCUGGAGCACGGAAAGCUCCUGGGAGCUGUGGAAUUGGGGCAGGAGCGUGGUUUCCUCGGUCCAGCUCUCAUCUUUUCACUGGGUAAUAACUCUGUCAGUGUCAAAGCAAAGGCAUCAACACACCCAGGUGAGACCAAAGUCACCCUUUUGGGACAAAUCCAGCCCGGGCUGCAAUCUCCAUUCCCUGUCAC